rnacentral:misc_RNA from 1 species
UAAUCUCACCCCCAGAGCUUUCGUCUCUGGGAGUGGACUUGGACGUUGCCGUGACUCGGCUCGUCUCGAAUGCCUCAGUGCACCCGCUCGUCGGCGUCUACAGUGUGAUAGGUAUCUUCACUGUUCAGUCUCCUCGGAGGCGCGCUCUCGGGACGUGGGCCUAGCGCUUCCAACCGUCUUUUUUGACAAAUACUCUGACAAU